ACCACAGGUUUUAAUGGGAGGUUCCCUCUGUGGAGCAACGCAGUAUUUAACCUCCCUCAGAUACUCAUCAUGUCUGCUGCGGCUGCAUCUGAUGUUAGCAGGAUCACUAUGAUGACACAAGCUCUAUUCGUAUUUGUAGUCUCGGCUCUGAGGCUUCAAGGUCACUGCCAGGAUGUGAUCCAAGACCCUAAAAUCAGCUGGAGUUUUGCUUCCCAAACUGCAGAGAUGAACUGCAGCCACAAUAAAGAUAUUUCUCAUACCCAGAUGUACUGGUACAGACAGCGUCCACAUACUGUAUAUCACAUCAACCUGCUGAGUUUUUGUAGCUAUUGACUGCCAAUAGCUCAUAAUCUAAAAACAUAUGAACCUUUGUGUACUUUAAUUGGCAUUAGAGGCAGGGCUGUCCACUCGUCUAAAUUUGCAUUACUUGAACUUUCUAUUAGUGUCAAAUUUGUGAACAGAUUCCUUUGACUAAACAACAAGUUGCUGGUGUUUCAACAAUCUAACAACUUAUACUAUAUUAUUACAACACUUAGUAGUUAAAUGCAAUUCUUUUUACAAAUAGACUGUUUGGUGCAAAAGCUUGUAGGGAUUAUAACAAGGCUUUGUUGUUUUGCUUCCUCUCAUGAGGUGGGAGUAUAUCUUUACUGAGCGGUGGUGUGUGGCGGUAGCUGACGUGAUGGUGUUAUUGUUUAGAGGAGGAGGAAGCACCAUGACAUCACCCACCUCAAAAGGUUGUGUGUGUUUUCCUCACAUAAAGAGGUGGAAAUAAAGCAUACCAGCGUAUACUGUGAUGAAAACACAACCAAUAACUAACCUGAUCUGAAGUUUAGUCAGACCAGAAGACACAUCAUGAUAAUUAUUUUCUGUAUAACCUUUAAUGCUGUACUGGUUUCAGGUUCCUCACUCAGCAACAAAGUCCAACAGACUCCUACUGACAUGUACGCUGAAACUGGAAAAACAGCCGAUAUCAGCUGUUCACACAAUGUUCAGGACUAUACCCGAAUCCUCUGGUACAAACAGUCAAAGAACAAACAAAUGCAGCUCCUGGGAUACAUGAAUGUUAAUACUGGAUAUCCUGAAGCUGGAGUGGCUGUGAAGAUAGAAGGGCGUGCAGAUAAAGGCCAAAACUGCACAUUAACAAUUGAAGAACUCAGCCUGAACAGCAGUGCAGUGUACUUCUGUGCUGCUAGUUAACACAGUGCUACAUAACACUGAUCCUCAGUACAAAAACCUCCCCAUAACACAUUUUUUAAUCUCCGUUUCACAGCUCACAGCCCCUUGCACCUGCAUUUAACCAUUCUAACCACUGUUGGUAUUCCCUCUGAUCCAGAUAAGUUAUUAUAACCGGAGGUUCCUUACAGUACGUCCCCAACAGCAGCCUCAUACAUUCAUGACUGCAGAGGCUACAUCUCACUGAAACAGGAUCAGUAAUAUGACUUCUAUUCUUGUCUUGUUGAAUUUUAGUGUUGCUGCUGACUGUCUGCCUGGCUCCAGAAUUUUCAAUCCGCCCACUCAUUAACUGUUUGUAUGAUUUCCUAUAAAAGUCAUGCACCCAAAUUUGUACAUAUCCCAUGUCAUCAUGAGCAAGUAAUUCCUGUGUAACCCAGGUAUUUUGGAAGGCAGGGAUCAUGUGACCAGUGCGCUGACGGGAGCAAACAAAGAAGCUGUCUAU